GACGAACGCUGGCGGCGUGCCUAAUACAUGCAAGUUGAGCGCUGAAGGUUGGUACUUGUACCAACUGGAUGAGCAGCGAACGGGUGAGUAACGCGUGGGGAAUCUGCCUUUGAGCGGGGGACAACAUUUGGAAACGAAUGCUAAUACCGCAUAAAAACUUUAAACACAAGUUUUAAGUUUGAAAGAUGCAAUUGCAUCACUCAAAGAUGAUCCCGCGUUGUAUUAGCUAGUUGGUGAGGUAAAGGCUCACCAAGGCGAUGAUACAUAGCCGACCUGAGAGGGUGAUCGGCCACAUUGGGACUGAGACACGGCCCAAACGCCUACGGGAGGCAGCAGUAGGGAAUCUUCGGCAAUGGACGAAAGUCUGACCGAGCAACGCCGCGUGAGUGAAGAAGGGUUUCGGAUCGUAAAACUCGGUUGGUAGAGAAGAACGUUGGUGAGAGUGGAAAGCUCAUCAAGUGACGGUAACUACCCAGAAAGGGACGGCUAACUACGUG
rnacentral:rRNA from 1 species